GAUCCUGGCUCAGGAUGAACGCUAGCUACAGGCUUAACACAUGCAAGUCGAGGGGAAACGACAUCGAAAGCUUGCUUUUGAUGGGCGUCGACCGGCGCACGGGUGAGUAACGUCGUAUCCAACCUGCCCACCACUUGGGGAUAACCUUGCGAAAGUAAGACUAAUACCCAAUGAUAUCUCUAGAAGACAUCUGAAAGAGAUUAAAGAUUUAUCGGUGAUGGAUGGGGAUGCGUCUGAUUAGCUUGUUGGCGGGGUAACGGCCCACCAAGGCGACGAUCAGUAGGGGUUCUGAGAGGAAGGUCCCCCACAUUGGAACUGAGACACGGUCCAAACUCCUACGGGAGGCAGCAGUGAGGAAUAUUGGUCAAUGGGCGAGAGCCUGAACCAGCCAAGUAGCGUGCAGGAUGACGGCCCUAUGGGUUGUAAACUGCUUUUAUAAGGGAAUAAAGUGAGUCUCGUGAGGCUUUUUGCAUGUACCUUAUGAAUAAGGACCGGCUAAUUCCGUG
rnacentral:rRNA from 1 species